CUGCCAAUUGAUAAUGCUCCAAGCUACAAGUAAAACGAACCAACCCCCAUGUCUCUACGAUGUUCUGAUGCAGAGAUAUAGGUUUUGCUAAACGGUUGCUAGGCUAACCUGUUUGUUUGCUAUGGGCGUGGCUUAGCAUCUGCCAAUUGAUAAUGCUCCAAGCCACAAGUAAAACGAACCAACCCCCAUGUCUCUAACAUGAUACAAGAUCAGUAUGUUGGCUCUGUCAAGCCAACAUAAUAACAGUAACAGUAAAUAACUUGAGCUACCAUGAUUGUCUCGUGCGUUUGUAAAAACGCGGGCAGCACAUUUUAAAUUUCAACGGUCAAGGGGAGUCAAGUGCAUCGCGUCGGGUUGACAGAGAUAUCUGUGGUAAGUCAGAGAAAUUAAUACGUUUAAUCAAUGACAUUUUAUAAACUUUAAUUAUUUUGUGCGAGAAUGGUUUUUGCACUAAAUAUCUGUUUACAAUACAGGUAAAUGUUUUAUUUUCUAUAUUAGCGUUCAUAAAACAGGACUACUGAAUCCGGGUGUACGUGUGUUCACCACUUGCUGUGCGUGUGUUCACUACUCUCUGGAUGGGUUAAAUGCAGAGGUCACAUUUCGGGUAUGGGUCACCAUAUCUGACUAAUAGGUCACUUUCACUACAGUUCUCUGCAAUCUCAAUGUUUUGACAGUAGAUUUGAGCCUGCCCACUCGCCAAAGCCGUGCUGCCGGGUUACAGAGUCACUACAGCAGGUGCCGCAAUGCAGAGGAACCGCAGGAAGAAGCACUUGUUGCGACAAGUUGUUGGGUCAAGUCUAGAAGUCUUUUUCAAACAGAGGGUGAGUAAAUCAUUACAUUAAUUUGUUGAGUGUCAUAACAGCAUAUUUAUCCUAUUAUAGUCGCGUAACAUUGCUCAUCCACUAUGUCACUAAGCCAAAUCUAUACAUUUAAAAAAUAUAGGUAUUAGUGUGCACAUGGCCUGAAUUAUUAAUUUUGUUUAAUUUGUUUUUUUGUGUUCAUGAAAUAGGAUACAGUUUGGGAAGGACCUUAAUCCUAAAAUACUGUUCUUCAGUUUCUGACCAUGAACAUCUUCAAUGUGGCAAGACAUGGAAUCAGAGAAAUGCUGACCAGCUUAGCAAAUAAUAAUUAUAAUGGUAUUGUAGAUCUGGAAAAGAAUGCUGCACUGCUUAUUUUACCAUCCUCAUUGUGCGAAAAUAGCGGGUUUCACUUCGCGGGGUUUCACAAUUCAAAUGAUUCAGCAAAGCUAAUAACAGGAAUAAUUCUUUGUGGCACUUCAAGACCCCCAGUUGUGAAGACAUGGAACUGACAGAGGCACUAGUGUUCCCCUGCCUGUUUCUCUUGUUUUUACCCUAUGGACUACACCUCCCAUCAUGCUCCACGCUCCCUCACUUUUUCCUCAUCUCCCAUCAACCUCACCUGUCAGCGAUACCCUCAUCACAGAGACUGUAUAUAUACUCUCCCUGUUCCUUUGUUCAUUGUCAAGUCUCGUCUAUAUAGUCUGCAAUUACGUUGUGUUCUCCAGUGAAUUCUUUUGUUGUUGUGCUUUAAAAUAUAUAAUGUAGUAUUGGAUAUCUCUCCGACUGUGGUCUGUGGUUGCAUACACACCCCCGUGACACUUAGCUGUCUAUGUUUUAUUCAGUGUGAUAUAUGCAAAACCCUUCAUUCGCACAAAAAAUGUCAUCGAGCACUGUUUGUUUAAACUUAUUAGUGGCUACAAGACUGUCUGUCCCGCUUCCCAAAUUAUACAACCAACUUAUACCAUGGUAUUUUAUGAGUUGUAUUGCCACAAUGAACCUAGUACUUGUGGUUAAUGGUUUAAUGUCAAUUUUUUUAAGACUUAAGCUUUAAUGCUGUUAUGAAUGUUAUAAAUAUAUAAAAUUAUUUUACUGUUGUUUCAUAGUGAUUAUUC